rnacentral:rRNA from 1 species
UACGGAGGGGGCUAGCGUUGUUCGGAAUUACUGGGCGUAAAGCGCGCGUAGGCGGCUUUGCAAGUUAGAGGUGAAAUCCUGGAGCUCAACUCCAGAACUGCCUUUGAUACUGAGAAGCUUGAGUCCGGGAGAGGUGAGUGGAACUGCGAGUGUAGAGGUGAAAUUCGUAGAUAUUCGCAAGAACACCAGUGGCGAAGGCGGCUCACUGGCCCGGUACUGACGCUGAGGUGCGAAAGCGUGGGGAGCAAACAGG